rnacentral:rRNA from 1 species
GUAUAUGCCUAUAACAUAGUGUUAAUGCACGAGAUCCCUUUAGAACUUCGUAGUUAAGUGUGCUCAGGCUAGAGUAGUACUGGGAUGGGUGGCCGCCUGGGAAGUUCUAGUGUUUUACAUG